GGAAGAAGAAACCGGCCCGGAGUUCUGGCCGACAGCAGGCGAGGAGUGGGCAGCAGCGCCUAUGUGAGGUUAGCUAAUCUGAGAAGGCCCACUUCUGGUUCCAUGGAUGAUGGCGGUUGAGCAGAUGCCAAAAAAGGAUUGGUACAGCAUCCUGGGGGCAGACCCAUCUGCAAAUAUAUCAGACCUAAAACAAAAAUAUCAAAAACUCAUAUUAAUGGUUCAUUGAUGAUGUUACAUAGCCCUUGACCCAUGUGAACUGAUGACAGAAUAGAGCCACAGCAUGUGAAGUGAUUUGACCUGUAGCAAUCUUUGAACCAGUGUUUUGUCUACACCUAUCCUCAGAGGCUAUCCAGCUGUUAGAUUUCAUUUUUAAUAAUUCAGCCAAAGGUGUGGAACAUUUUUCUCUUGAGAUUUUCAAUAGAUAGUCGGAAGAUGUGUUUUUGAGAGCUUCAAAUAGUGUUCCAGAAGAGAAUGUUAGAAUUGGGAAGAAUAAGCGUAUUAGAUAGUUAAAGUAUCUGAAAAAGAAAAUAGAGAAUAUAAGCAUAUAAUUUUCAGUUUACUAAAGAAUACUGUUUUUAGGAAUAAUAGUCAUGAAAAUUAUAAGGGAAAAGAAUAGUUUUUAAAAAGCCUCUGUUACCCAGUUUAAUGCAUCUUUUAGUUUAGACAUGACUGCUUCACAAUCACAGUGACUUUUGCACACUAUCUUGUAAUUUUUAA
rnacentral:sRNA from 1 species